ensembl:snRNA U6 U6 spliceosomal RNA
GUUCUCACUUCAGCAGCAUGUAUGCUCAAAGUGGACUGAUACUGAGAGGAUUAGCAUGGCCCCUGCAUGACAAUGACACACAAAUUCGUGAAGCGUUCCACAUUUAA